GAUGAACGCUAGCUACAGGCUUAACACAUGCAAGUCGAGGGACCGGCGCGCGGGUGAGUAACACGUAUCCAACCUGCCCUUUACUCGAGGAUAGCCUUUCGCAAGAAAGAUUAAUACCCGAUAUAAAGGAUGGGGAUGCGUUCCGUUAGGUUGUGGGUGAGGUAACGGCCCACCAAGCCUUCGAUGGAUAGGGGUUCUGAGAGGAAGGUCCCCCACAUUGGAACGGCGACACGGUCCAAAAUCCGACGGGAGGCAGCAGUGAGUAAUAUUGGUCAAUGGGCGUUAGCCUGAACCAGCCAAGUAGCGGGAAGGAUGAAGGCUUAUGGGUCGUAAAUUUCUUUUAUAUAAGAAGAGGUAUUAUAUGAAUAAGGAUCGGCUAACUCCGUGCCAGCAGCCGCGGUAAUUC
rnacentral:rRNA from 1 species